rnacentral:rRNA from 1 species
GACGAACGCUGGCGGCGUGCUUAACACAUGCAAGUCGAACGAAGAGCGAUGGAGGCUUGCUUCUAUCAAUCUUAGUGGCGCACGGGUGAGUAACGCGUAAUCAACCUGCCCUUCAGAGGGGGACAACAGUUGGAAACGACUGCUAAUACCGCAUACGAUCUAAUCUCGGCAUCGAGGAUAGAUGAAAGGUGGCCUCUACAUGUAAGCUAUCACUGAAGGAGGGGAUUGCGGCUGAUAAGGUAGGUGGGGGGGUAAGGGCCCACCGAGGCGAAGAACGGUAGGCGGUCUGGAAAGAUGGACGGCCACAUUUGGACUGAGACACGGCCCAGGCUCCUACCGGGGGCAACAAGUGGGGAAUUUCCGCCAAUGACGAAAGGCUGACGGGGCCACGCCGGGUGAGUGGUGACGGCCUUCGGGUUGUAAAGCUCGGUUAAUCGGGAAGAAAGACCUUCUUGCGAAUAGUGAGAAGGAUUGACGGUACCGGAAGAGAAAGCCACGGCUAACUACGUG